rfam:Cucumis melo, WGS project CAJI01000000 data, contig: 14018
GUUCCCAGUGAUGAUUAACUUGACCAUGCUAAUGCUGAUCAAUUUGUGAUUGUUCUUUUCCUUAAUUUUCUGAGGGAACU